CUCUUCAGUGGAAGUCGGGGGCACGCAUGUCUUGUCCGGUUCGUGUUCCUAGGUGUGCUACAGAGGGACCUGGAUGAAAGCAGGGAAAAGUGGAACACGCAUGCCAUCAGACCUGUGAACCAGUCUUGCUGUCCAUCUGGUAAACCAGAUGUCAUGUACAACCUGCCUCACAGGUUUGGUGGAACUGACUGUGGGUUCCCACUCACACAGGAGGAACUGGGCCAGUUUGCAUUUGAGUCAACCUACAGUCAAUGUGGAGAUGACCAUCUUCAGGCCCGCUUUGAAGAUCUACAGAGACGGAGGGGUCUGCUGCAGCCUUUGACAAGGGAGUCCUGUGUGGAAAAUUAUAUCAGACUGAAGAACAUGGCUGACAUGUAAUGGAAUGUUCUGCUGACUGGGAAGCGAGAAGUCGACUGAAAAAUCAGUUUGGGUCGUGGCUGAAUUCCAGAGGGAGGCAAUGUGUUUAAU